AGAUAUGGAGGCGGGGUCUUCUGGGCAGAACAGGAAGGGAAGGGGAGAAGAGAAGGGUCAGACAAGAUGGAGGAGGUAAGAAGAUGGAUGAUAAAGAUGAACCAGAAUCGCGUGACCUAAAGGAACUGGCAGAGCAGAAGCAAGCUUCUUAGUUGACUCAAGUUGACAAUCAAGACCAGCCAUCCCAUUGGGGCACUGGGCUGUACUGUUGCCACUCUGCACAAGAAGAAGCAGAGGCCGAUGGAACCCAGCUGCUUCUAACCAGGUAAUUAGGGCAAACUUACCUUUGCAUGUAUUACAACAGUGCCUCUAUAUUCCCAAGCAUCUUCCCACACCUUCAUGGAGGAACACACUGAGAUUU
rnacentral:lncRNA from 1 species